GGGACCAAACCAGAUGAAAAGGUAGGCUGAAGUGUUAAUUUUGAAAAUUGUAAGUUGUACUGAAAUGAGAGUGUUGUGAUUUCCUUCCAUCUUGUUGAUGAUUGUCACAUCCUGUUUAGAUGAUUGAUCUCUUGAUAGAGACUGGAAACAGUGAGCAAAUCUUCCACAAGGCAAUUCAGGAAUGGGGCGAGGACAGGUGAAGCUCCUGCUUUGAAUUGUGCUUCAUACUAGUUGCCGUGAAGAGUGGUCAGUUCAUUGUAGAAGUCAAGCCUCAGGCAUCAAUGUUUCAUUUAUGCUUAUUCGGAGGAGAGUUGCAUCAAGUAAGAGAGAAUCAUGAUCUCCAACUAGCACAGAUGCAGACCUUAAAGGUGCAUACCUUAAAGGCUGAAAUAGAUAGAUACACCGAAUAUACUGGAAAAUCCUCUAUAGAGUUGGAAAAGUUUGACUGCAAAAACAAGUUUACUUUGAGCUGAUGAACAUGCUUUUCUCCUUUUUGGAACCGAAUCAUCCUCGUAGUGUCUUGCUAGCUGGAUAUUUCAGUAAGGUUGUUGUAUGCCUUAUGUUACGGAAGACAGUGUCACUAAUGAAUUGUGUCCAGGUAAGUAGAUGACUUCACUCUAUUUUUAACAUUUUCUGUUAUUUGUUUUGUUCCUCAUAUAACAAUGCUAGAAAUGUUUUCGGUUCUGCAUAUUGGAAAAUAUUAUUUGAACUUUGAACAGUGAGUAUUUAGCAAAAC